UGUAGUUAUAAAAAGUCGUACCUGCCCAGUGAAGUAAUAUAAACGGCCGCAGUAUCCUGACUGUGCUAAGGUAGCAUAAUAAUUUGCCUCUUAAUUGGUGGCUAGAAUGAAUGGUUUGACGAAGAGCAUAGCUGUCUCUAAUAUAUUAUGUAUAAUUUAUCUUUUAGGUUAAAAUUCCUAAAUCUAAUUAAGGGACGAGAAGACCCUAUUGAAUUUUAAAGAAAUAUAUAAAUAAAAUAUAUUAUUAAAAUUAAUUUAUUUAUAUAAUAAUUUUGGUUGGGGCAACCGAGGAACAAUAAAAGCUUCCUGCAUAUAAAUAUAAAAACUUUUUUCGAUCCAAUGUAAUGUAUUGAUAAUAGGAAUUAAUUACCAUAGGGAUAACAGCGUAAUUUUUCUUGAGAGAUCUAAUCGAAAGAGAAGUUUGCGACCUCGAUGUUGGAUUAGGAUAUUCAAAAGGUUGUAGAAGCUUUUAUGAUUAGUCUGUUCGACUAUUUAAAUCCU
rnacentral:rRNA from 1 species